rfam:Candidatus Tagabacteria bacterium RIFCSPLOWO2_01_FTLL_39_11 rifcsplowo2_01_scaffold_3783, whole genome shotgun sequence.
GCGGGUAUCGUUUAGUGGCAGGACACGACCUUGCCAAGGUUGAGAUGGGAGUUCGAUUCUCCCUACCCGCA